UAAGAAGUAAAAGAAACUGAAGCACGAAAACCGAAAAAAGGAGAGACAUAAAGUAUGAAACUGGAAAAGAUAAUAUGUACAGGUAUAAGAAGGAGAAGAAGAAGAGAAGAGCUCGAAAUAACGGGAAGUAGUGAUAAACAACACAACAAUAAUUUAAGAAUAAUAAUAAUAUAAUAAAAUAGAAUAGAAUCGGAGGUCAUAUUAAACAGCAAGACGCAAAGUUGUAUGGACCUUGGAAAAUGGAAACAAAAUUAAUUAGUAAGGGAAAUUCCUU